GACGAACGCUGUCGGCGUGCUUAACACAUGCAAGUCGAACGGAAAGGCCCUGCUUUUGUGGGGUGCUCGAGUGGCGAACGGGUGAGUAACACGUGAGUAACCUGCCCUUGACUUUGGGAUAACUUCAGGAAACUGGGGCUAAUACCGGAUAGGAGCUCCUGCUGCAUGGUGGGGGUUGGAAAGUUUCGGCGGUUGGGGAUGGACUCGCGGCUUAUCAGCUUGUUGGUGGGGUAGUGGCUUACCAAGGCUUUGACGGGUAGCCGGCCUGAGAGGGUGACCGGCCACAUUGGGACUGAGAUACGGCCCAGACUCCUACGGGAGGCAGCAGUGGGGAAUAUUGCACAAUGGGCGGAAGCCUGAUGCAGCAACGCCGCGUGCGGGAUGACGGCCUUCGGGUUGUAAACCGCUUCCGCCUGUGACGAAGCGUGAGUGACGGUAAUGGGUAAAGAAGCACCGGCUAACUACGUGCCAGCAGCCGCGGUGAUACGUAGGGUGCGAGCGUUGUCCGGAUUUAUUGGGCGUAAAGGGCUCGUAGGUGGUUGAUCGCGUCGGAAGUGUAAUCUUGGGGCUUAACCCUGAGCGUGCUUUCGAUACGGGUUGACUUGAGGAAGGUAGGGGAGAAUGGAAUUCCUGGUGGAGCGGUGGAAUGCGCAGAUAUCAGGAGGAACACCAGUGGCGAAGGCGGUUCUCUGGGCCUUUCCUGACGCUGAGGAGCGAAAGCGUGGGGAGCGAACAGGCUUAGAUACCCUGGUAGUCCACGCUGUAAACGGUGGGUACUAGGUGUGGGGUCCAUUCCACGGGUUCCGUGCCGUAGCUAACGCUUUAAGUACCCCGCCUGGGGAGUACGGCCGCAAGGCUAAAACUCAAAGGAAUUGACGGGGCCCCGCACAAGCGGCGGAGCAUGCGGAUUAAUUCGAUGCAACGCGUAGAACCUUACCUGGGUUUGACAUGGAUCGGGAGUGCUCAGAGAUGGGUGUGCCUCUUUUGGGGUCGGUUCACAGGUGGUGCAUGGCUGUCGUCAGCUCGUGUCGUGAGAUGUUGGGUUAAGUCCCGCAACGAGCGCAACCCUUGUUCACUGUUGCCAGCACGUUAUGGUGGGGACUCAGUGGAGACCGCCGGGGUCAACUCGGAGGAAGGUGGGGAUGACGUCAAGUCAUCAUGCCCCUUAUGUCCAGGGCUUCACGCAUGCUACAAUGGCUGGUACAGAGAGUGGCGAGCCUGUGAGGGUGAGCGAAUCUCGGAAAGCCGGUCUCAGUUCGGAUUGGGGUCUGCAACUCGACCUCAUGAAGUCGGAGUCGCUAGUAAUCGCAGAUCAGCAACGCUGCGGUGAAUACGUUCCCGGG
rnacentral:rRNA from 1 species